CAAGCAGCUGACCAGGAUCACUUUUAGUCAAGUAGGGCUGUUCCAAGUAAUUGAUAACUGCAGCAAACAAGAAUUAACAAGCAAUAAGUGACACUGAUGAUGAUGAUGAUGACCAUGACUACUACUAGUAGUACUACUACAACAUCUUACGCACAAGAUGAAAGAAACAAUUGCUGACUAGAUUUUGGUCCCUCGACACAAGUGUGAGCCAGAGGGGGAAAAUUAUAAUUAUGACAGGAUGACAGUGACUUCAAGCAUUUGUUUUACCUUUAAUUUCUGAUAAUGAGGCAAGCUGCUGCAGUGAGUAUUUUUUGCAACUUCCUCAUUUGUGUAGAAGAGAGAACAGAGUUUACAGUAAAAUCCUGUCUUGGGUAUCACAUAGUCCACGCCUAGGGAAAAAUACACAAAGAAUCUAAUCAACAGGGUUCAGCAAGUUUGAUGACAGCACUGUCAGAAUAGCCAGAAUGGGGCAAGUUGCUGAGAUGGAUCACCCGUCCAAGUUCAGGCUUUUGUUCAAAUUUCUGAUCAGGUUUUCCGCCUUCUGGUUUCUUUAAUUAAAGAAAUAAGAAAAAAGUCAACUAUACUGAUCAGAAAGUUAACUUUUUAUAAAUUAAGUCAAUCUAUCACAACCACCAUUUAGUAAACAAUUUUUAUGCCAAGAACUAGGC